rnacentral:lncRNA from 1 species
GCGGUGUCUUCGAAAUGGUCCAUGUGUCUGCGUUCUUUUCGAAAAAAAGAAUUCAGGAUUUCGGAAGAAAUUUUACCUCUAAGGAAUACGAACCUGUGACAAGAUGUUAUUUGAUAAGUUAAUCAGCGAUUUAUCAACGUGAUGAUAAACGUGACCAGACAAUUAAGCUGCAUUUUCGUUGUGAAUGCGCUGGCACGUAGGUGCAACACGGUGUAUUACAAUGUGAGAGACAACUGAAUUCAGACAAUGGAUUCGUGCGUCCUAUGACGAUUAAGUACUAGCUAAGUGGACAGUUAUGUAUCGCCUCUAGACGAGAAAUAAACGCUGAAUCACUCUGUUAAAUUCUCGGACCGUUAUAUGACAAUCCAUCGGAUAGUAUAGAUUCUUCUGGUACAAAGAUAUAUAUCGUACAUACAAUUCGAGGAAAAAGAGAGAAAGAGAGAGAGAGAGAGAGAAUUCGUGCGUAUACGCGUCGAUUAACGUCACUAAUUUCGAUGUAAAUUAUGCAACAGGAACUAAUAUUUUAAGAAUGGCUGUGUGGUAGUAGCACCUCACAGUGUGUUACAUAACUCCGCUCAAAUAAUAGCGUUUAUUACGAGUAUAACGAGGCGCUAAAAAUACCAACAAAAAUAUUUUCUCAGUAUAAUUUCAUCAAUAAAAUUGCAACAAAGCAUUAUUAACAAAGUCAUUACUAAUAAUCAGUAUAACACUUUGUUCUGCAUAGUAAGAGCUAGUAUCCGUCGUUAAAACGCGAACAAAAUAUAUCUCGCCAAUGAUAACGGUGAUGAAAAAUGCAAGAAUUCUUUUAUCAGUCAACACGUGAUAUUGUUCCAAAAUAUGAAAAUACCGAAUGUACAUAUCCAUAUAAUACAUAAAUGCAUGAGAUAGAUAAGCGCUGGUUUAGAGAUAUAAAUAUGCGAGAUAAGAAUACACGACAACAGAAAGCAAAAUAUACAUGUGCGAUAUAACAUUUAUCUCGUCAAUGACUCGACAGUAUGACUCUGAGUAAUUAUUAGUGACAGUUCUUGUUUUUGCAUGACGUAAUUUUAUGUUUCACAGACAACGACCUGUUUUAGAGUGAACAGAUAGUAUAUGUAUAACAAUUAUACUUUCAAUUCUCAUAUCAAUAACACGCUAUUGAAGUAAUUAUUAACACUUAAUUCAUUAUAAAUUCCGAACUAUAAAUUACGAAAUUUUCCUAAUUGUAAAUAAUUUUGUAUGAUAAUAGUUUGCAAUUAACAGAUCAUAAUCCUUAAUAAUGUAGAGAUACUAACUUCGGAGAUGUUCUUAUUUCUGCAUAAAAACUUCUCCUUGAAACAAGGCGUCUUUUACCCGGAAUUCCACGAGCAAUGCAAAUGCGGUAAGUAUUCUGCUUACUAAUAGUACGAUCAAAUCUCGAUCAAAUCAUUGAUUAAGAAAUGAUUCAACCGAUUCAUUGGGCCGGCUUCAGCAGAGCGUUAUAAAGACUUGAUAUUCUUCUUGCGGUGAUAUAAAAUUGUUGAAUAUUAUGUAUAGUAUAAGAUGGAUUUUUUCUUUUGCUCUUUUGAUAUGUAUAUAAUUCAUUACUUAGAAGCAAUGUAGAUAAAGAAAAUUAACGAAUCACUAAUUAUCUUAUCAAGCAUAUCUCUUAUUACAUGACAAUCAUCUUACAAUUCCAUAUGAACAAAACAAAGAGAAGAAUUGUAACUAUAGACGUCUGAUAGGUCUGGUAAUCAUGCAUAUAUACCGAAUAAAUUCUUGCGUUCCAUUGCGUAAAAAGUAAACCGUCAGGAACUUAGAAUUAAUCUUCUUUUUUUCAGAUGCUGACAACUUCAAAUAUUAUGAUCCAUUAAAACAACAACUUGAUACAUAUACGUGUAUUAUAUAUUGCACAAGAUAAGUUUUUUAUAUGUAAAAUAUAAUCAUACAAAUUAAUUAAAUAAAAUAUAUCUUUUCCGCUUAUAUUUAUAUAUACUAAAGUAUUUUUAAUUAAAUGAAAUUUGAAUAAUUUAUUUUACUUAACGUUAUCUACAAUACUGGUUUUACAAGUAGUAAUAUAAAAAGCUUUUUAUAUACCUAUGUGCGCGAUACACAUAGUAAAAAUGAUAUAACAAAAAAUAUAUUCAAAAAUAUAUUCUUCCGAAACAUUUAUUUAUAUCACUUUUCUGUCUCGUUUUGUCAUAAGUUUCUCUUAUCAAGAGUUAGUUAAAUGCAACUCGUAAUAACAUUUUAAAAGUUUUUAUCGUUUUUAGAAUAAUUAAGU